rnacentral:tmRNA from 1 species
GGGGGUGACUGGCCUCGAUUCUGAGGACCAACGUGGGUGAAGCGAGCCGACGUCCCCGGAUCGUCGCAAAAGAGCCGGGAACCAACAUAAAUGCCGAGGACAAAAACCUCGCACUCGCUGCUUAAGAACUAAGUAGCGCGUCCGUUCCGGCCCAGCCGCUCGGUCGGACAGCGGGCGUCAUGCAGAGCGGCUCACCGCCGGGACGGGCCUCGUGGCCCGGCGGGACAUCGCAGCGAGGCUGGGGUCGCCGCAGGCCGCCGGUGAGUGGCGGUGACCCGAGAACUCCUCACUGGCUGCGCUCGGAGAAGCCCCACCGACGACUCGGAAGACGCGGGUUCGAUUCCCGCCACCUCCACCG